UGAGGAAUAUUGGUCAAUGGGCGAGAGCCUGAACCAGCCAAGUAGCGUGCAGGAUGACGGCCCUAUGGGUUGUAAACUGCUUUUAUGUGGGGAUAAAGUGCGUGACGUGUCAUGCAUUGCAGGUACCACAUGAAUAAGGACCGGCUAAUUCCGUGCCAGCAGCCGCGGUAAUACGGAAGGUCCGGGCGUUAUCCGGAUUUAUUGGGUUUAAAGGGUGCGCAGGUGGCUAAUCAGGUCAGUGGUGAAAAGCUAUGGCUCAACCAUGGUCUUGCCAUUGAAACCGUAUAGCUAGAGAGGAGACGAGGUAGGCGGAAUGUGUGGUGUAGCGGUGAAAUGCAUAGAUAUCACACAGAACUCCGAUUGCGAAGGCAGCUUACCAGGCUUUAUCUGACACUUAGGCACGACAGCGUGGGGAUCAAACAGG
rnacentral:rRNA from 1 species